UGGUGGAGUGAUUUGUCUGGUUAAUUCCGAUAACGAGCGAGACCUUAACCUGCUAAAUAGACCGAUCGUCUUUUGAUGGUCGCUGUCUUCUUAGAGGGACUGUCAGCGUUUAGCUGACGGAAGUUUGAGGCAAUAACA
rnacentral:rRNA from 1 species